AUGCUGCUGUUGCGGUCACUCCAGUCGAAGGCCACCUCCUCUUCCUCCUUCUCAUUCAGCCAGAUGAGUUCCUGGGUUGCCUGUGAAAGGAAGUCAUGCAGGCUUUCCAGGUGGCUCUGCCGCUCUCUGGAAAAGCCCUGGAACAGGAUCCACAAAGGUCAGACUAGAGAAACAUAUUUUCUAAAAAAGACUGAAAGAGAAGGGUGGCAUCCCUUACCAAAAGGAUCUCAUACUCCUUCUCCAGCUUCUUCAGCUUUUCGGAAUAAGUCAGCUUUAAAGGUGGGUUCAUCUGAAUCUGAAGGGAAAAGCAUCUUUUCAGGAACAGAUCACACUUACAUCUUACUCACAGAUCACUGCCAGCAAAAUCGCCUAAAGAGGAGGUCAAAAGCAGGACGCGCUCACCUCACUGAGCUUGGCUUCUUUAAGACUCAUUUGGAAUUCUUCGAUGUCUCUAUGUACGCCACUGUGGCUGUCCAUGUGCGCCUCCACGCUUGGCAAAUCGUUGCCCCACUCCGAGCGGCCAAGCUGCGACUUCAAAAUUUAGAGAAAAAAAAAAAAAAGCACUUCAAUGUGCUACUCAUGCAUAUAGUGAGUUUAAAGCUGAUACACAUCAUCAAACUCACCUGCAUUUCCUCCACCCAGGUCUGGAGGCCCUUGAUGAAUCUCAUGUUGACCUCCUCGUCUGUCAAACUGGGGUCCGCCACGGACGAUUUCCGCAAGGGUUUGCUGCUCUGUAUGUGUUUCAGGUGCCGGAGGCCGCUGGGGUCCACACCACCACUGCUGUCCAUGAAGGUCUGGACUGAGGGGGGCUGCAAAACGGAGUUCAUCGAGGGACUCAAAGACGGGGUGAGGCACGACGUAAGGCUGGAGGUGAACGCUGACCCGGGGGCUCCUAACCCCCCGGGGGUGAGUGCAGGUGUGAGGACUGGUGUCAGGCUUGUGUUCUGCGGGAACGUAGAGUUCAGGCUUUGUGUGAUGCCUGAAAUCAUCAUUUUGGUUUGCUCUGUUGUCAGGGUGCGGCCUUUGCUGUACAAAGAGGAGCAGUCCGCUCUCAGAGCCAACAGGUCAUCGCGCAGUUUUGAUACCCUGCCAUGA
rnacentral:lncRNA from 1 species